rnacentral:rRNA from 1 species
AAUCUACCCUGUCGUGGGGGAUAACGUAGGGAAACUUACGCUAAUACCGCAUACGACCUAUGGGUGAAAGCGGCGGACCGCAAGGCGUCGCGCGACUGGAUGAGCCGAUGUCCGAUUAGCUAGUUGGCGGGGUAAUGGCCCACCAAGGCGACGAUCGGUAGCUGGUCUGAGAGGAUGAUCAGCCACACUGGAACUGAGACACGGUCCAGACUCCUACGGGAGGCAGCAGUGGGGAAUAUUGGACAAUGGGCGCAAGCCUGAUCCAGCCAUGCCGCGUGUGU